GUGACGUGAUGAACUUGUUUAUCCAUUCUCUGAGUGCUGCUGGCCUGCUCUCCGCAGCGCCCCUGUCUGUUCUGGACCUGGGCGUUUGGCUCCUCCCCCACUGCGAGCAUCCAGUGUUCUACUGGCUGUCCUGUGGCUGGGGGCGUGGUCAGGGCGGGGCUUGUGGGCGUGGCAACCGCAAAGACGAGUGUAAACUCCUGAUCGC